AGGCUGCAAAGCACGUUUCUGAAGAUAAUCCCUCGAAAAUUUUCGGCACGCAAGAAUCAACCAUUACGUAUUUAUUUAGGAAUUCGAAAAAAAUAUUGUGGUUUUAACGAAUUUUUGAUGAGUGAUGUUUUGUAUAGCCUCGACCUUUGGGCAAAGAUAUAGAAAUGGAUGAGCAGGGUACAUGCCAAUACUGUUUAGUUUAUUUAAUUUAGAAAUGCCUGUACAAUUUCCAAUUUUCGUUGAAAACUUUCUUGAGUGAAAUGACGAUCCGUUCUCAGUAAUCAACAGUGCAAACUUCGCAGUCCUUCAGAGCACAUCAGUGUAUGUAUACCGAGUACCUUUUACGUUAGCACCGUAGUUUCGCAGAGUGCGUUUUCAUCACUUGUGAUUUAUAGAUUAAGCAGUAUUCGUACGUGGAUGGCUUGUAUGUAAAUUGAGCGUAUCGUUAUGAGUUGGUUGGUUAAUGGAAAGAAAUGUGCGGUGCCUCUAUGCCCGACAAUUCCAAAAGAUAGGAUACACAGGUAUCCAUUUCCGGUGGAAGAAAAACAAAGAAAUGAAUGGCUGGCGGCUUUGAAAAGUGAAGACUUGACGAAUAUGCCCUAUGAAGAAUUAAAAGAUCUUCGCGUGUGUGAGAAACAUUUCGAUCCCAAAUUCAUCUUAGUUAAAAUUAUAAAGAAUGUCCGCAAAACUCAAUUAUCACAAAAUGCUAUUCCAACGUUGUAUUUGCCAGAACGUAUAGUCGUUUGGGACAGGGAAACAUCGAGCUUUGUCGAAUCAAAUAGUCAAAAAGUACAAGUUCCAGAGUCAAUGGACCACAGUGGUAAUGAAGAAUUAGAGAAAAUGGACUGGGAGGAUUUGGACAAUUAAUAGUAUUCAACCAAACAUUAAUACAAUCAAUUUAUAAUUAUCGAAGUUGACGAGUUAAUAUAGACCACAGUGGUAAUGGAAAAGUAGAGAAUAUGGACUUUGAAGAUUUGGCGAAUUAAUAAUAUUCAGCCAAACAUCAGUACAACAGAUGGCAGUACUUACCGUGUCAUAGAGGCGUAUUAAGUAUGGAAAUGAUGAAAGAUUUAGAUCUCAGAUUAUGUUGUUCUUAAACAGUAAUCAACCCGAUUUUUGUGAUGUAAACAUUAUAUAUAUAUAUAUAUAUAUAUCUUUGCAAAUUGUGACUCGUAAUACUUAGAUAUUUAAUUUAAAAC